rnacentral:lncRNA from 1 species
CUGGCUUCAUUGUUGGACAGUUUUUGUGACAAACUUUUGGCUGCCAAUUAACGAAUUUGGACAGUUGUGACCCCGAACAGGUACGCCUCUCUGCAGGGACUGGCUUAUAUCCAAAUUUCGCUCAUCAAAUUACCAUUGUUGAGCCGGACAAGUUUCGCAUUUGGCCUGACAACUUGCCGAAAUGUGCGCUUUGUAGCUGCUGGAAGCAAAGUUCUUGACAGCCAGCGCAGCAGACUCCGGAGGGAUUCUCUUGGGCGGAAUAUUAAUUUGAUAAUUUUGCGGUUGAAUGCAAAUUCGCUGUCAGAGUCCUUUUGCGCUCUAAUUGACUGACGAAUAUUUAAA